CCUUUUUCACCGAUGACCGCCAACCCCCAGAGACAAGCGACAGGUUUCCAAAACUUGAACCUGCAGCUGAAAAUCCGUGGAGGCGUCCCUUCCCUGCUGGAGGCAAUGACGACGACCAUCUCUCCCUGUCACAAUGCUACACAGGAUGGAAAGUGUCACAGGAAAGGUACAACAGCCUGGCCCUGCUACCCUCACGCAUUGGAGUCUACUUCCUCUGGCUGUCUUCCAAACCAUCUGCGUGACACAUUUAAAAUGUUUAUUACGGAGAUAAAAGAAAUGACAGACUGUAGGGUGCAAACUGAGAAAGUAUCCUGGAAUACAAACAAAAUCUACACAUUAAAAACCCACCAACCAAACGUAUCUCUACAUCAGCAUGGGCAGGCUGAGCUGUGCGAGAGAGAGAGUGUUAUGUAACUGCUCAUGUUAAGAAUGAUCAACAAAAUGCUGAUAAAACACAGCAACAACUGCCUUUUUGGAGUAUCCUGUUGGCCGUUUGUCGAAGCAGGCGAAGUUACGCCAUAGCAUUUAGCAGCUGUAAACAACAGUCUUUUACAACCGUGUAAAUAUCAUUAAUGCGACUUCUGUUAAGAAUACAGGCCUGCUGAGCAGAAGACAAAUAAAAUCUUAAGUUCCACCAGCAA